UACGUAGGGUGCGAGCGUUAAUCGGAAUUAUUGGGCGUAAAGCGCACGUAGGCGGCUUGGCAAGUCGGAUGUGAAAUCCCUCGGCUCAACCAAGGAAGUGCAUCCGAAACUGCUGAGCUUGAGUACUUAAGAGGAUCGCGGAAUUCCCGGUGUAGAGGUGAAAUUCGUAGAUAUCGGGAGGAACACCAGUGGCGAAGGCGGCGAUCUGGGAAGAUACUGACGCUGAGGUGCGAAAGCGUGGGGAGCAAACAGG
rnacentral:rRNA from 1 species